rnacentral:rRNA from 1 species
GAUGAACGCUGGCGGCGUGCCUAAUACAUGCAAGUCGAGCGAACAGACGAGGAGCUUGCUCCUCUGACGUUAGCGGCGGACGGGUGAGUAACACGUGGAUAACCUACCUAUAAGACUGGGAUAACUUCGGGAAACCGGAGCUAAUACCGGAUAAUAUAUUGAACCGCAUGGUUCAAUAGUGAAAGACGGUUUUGCUGUCACGUAUAGAUGGAUCCGCGCCGCAUUAGCUAGUUGGUAAGGUAACGGCUUACCAAGGCAACGAGGCGUAGCCGACCGGAGGGGGUGAUCGCCCACCCUGGAACUUGACCGCGGUCCAGACUCCUACGGGAGGCAGCAGUAGGGAAUCUUCCGCAAUGGGCGAAAGCCUGACGGAACAACGCCGCGUGAGUUAUGAAGGUCUUCGGAUCGUAAAACUCUGUUAUUAGGGAAGAACAAAUGUGUAAGUAACUAUGCACGUCUUGGCGGUACCUAAUCAGAAAGCCACGGCUAACUACGUG